rnacentral:tRNA from 1 species
GGGGUCGUAGUUGAGAUUGGUUACAACACUGGCCUGUCACGCCAGAGGCCGCGGGUUCGAGCCCCGUCGACCCCGCCA